GCUAUUUAACUGGGGGAGUUGUUAGAUUAAUGACAUGUAAAUGUGUAAUAGCCUUUUAUGGAGUUGAGGAAAGUAACUUUAUGGAAUUUUGCUGAUAGUAUUAGGACUAGAUUAAAGGGGAAAGAAAAGAAGGAAAAGAGGUUGAAGAACUUAAAAAUAUAGGAUUUUCAGUCUUCCACUGUAUUUAACUGUUAUCUUUUCUAACUUUGCUCCCUUCUUAAGCCAAACAACUUUUCUGCUAAUUAUUCUUCCCCGCAUCCCCCCAUUUACAUUCUUGCUUAUCCUUCCAAUGGGUGCUGAACGUUACUAACUUUUCAAGUACUUGCAAGUUAUAUUGUCCUUAUGUUGCUUCAUUGUAUAAGUAUUGGCCCAUCAGGCUCCCAGCAUACAUUUAUUGUGUAUUAAACACCAAAGUGUGCCCCCUGCUAUGUGGAGCAUAUAUAUUCUCUUCAAGUAGAUUAAUGUAUAUUGUCUUUUACCUUAGGGUGAAUAAGAUCUAAGGCUUUGACCCUUUUUAAUGCUUGAUUAAAGUUAUAAUUUACAGUUGGGAAACUUUUGAACCUGU
rnacentral:misc_RNA from 1 species